GGGAUGGCCGGGCGGUACCUGAGGGGGAGGAAGGAAGAGCUCCAGCUCAUCUCUGAGGCCCUUGAAUGCCUGACAGAGGAUGUCAGUAGUGCCAUGUCAGAGCUGGCACUUCAAACACUGCAUGUGCUCCGGGCAAUACAGAGUGGGCGAUACUCCAUCUUCCAGAAGCCCUUGAAGCCAUGAGCGAAGAUGACAGCCCAUCCUCCACUAACCUGGAAAUUCAGGCAAUUUUUGGACAAAGAUGCAGAACUAAGGUCAUCUGCUGGAUUCAGAGAACCACAAUCCCAAGAAGAGUACCAGGAGACAGUAAAGAGAGCAGCAGGACUCAAUGUCACUGGAGCCCCAGGCACUCCUGAUGCUGGCCACAGCUGUGCCUGCUGCAAGCUCCCAUAGCUGCUGCCUUCCCCCUCCCUGUUGACAGCUCCUCCCUCCAGCCCUCAAACGCUGCCCAUUCCCUUUUUUUGGCCCCCAUCUCAUCCCUUCCCUUUCCCUUCCAUUAAUAAACAGUUUGGUUUCUCCCCCUUA